rnacentral:sRNA from 1 species
AUCAGUUGCGGACAGAUGAAAUGGAUGUGCGAGUCGAUGCCGCCCGCCGUGCAGAUCAGGCCUUCGCCGGCGAUCGCCUCGGUGCCGGGUCCGACGAUGAUAUCGACACCGGGCUGGGUGUCUGGGUUGCCCGCCUUGCCAAUGCCGGCGAUACAGCCGUUAGAGAGGCCGAUAUCGGCCUUGACGAUACCCCAGUGGUCGAGGAUCAGGGCGUUGGUAAUGACAGUAUCGACGGCACCGUCAGCAUGCGAGACCUGGGACUGGCCCAUACCGUCUCU